AUUGAACGCUGGCGGCAUGCCUAACACAUGCAAGUCGAACGAGUGGCGGACGGGUGAGUAAUGUAUGGGAACCUGCCUGAUGGAGGGGGAUGACUGCGGGAAACGGUAGCUAAUACCGCAUACCAUCGGUUGGGCCCAGGUGGGAGUAGCUAGUAGGUGGGGUAAAGGCUCACCAAGGCGACGAGCCCUAGCUUGUCUGAGAGGAUGACCGGCCACACUGGAACUGAGACACGGCCCAGACUCCUACGGGAGGCAGCAGUGGGGAAUCUUGCACAAUGGGCGCAAGCCUGAUGCAGCCAUGCCGCGUGAUUGAAGAAGGCUUUCGGGUUGUAAAGCACUUUCAUCGGGGAGGCGUUACCCGCAGAGGAAGCAACGGCUAACUCCGUGCCAGCAGCCGCGGUAAUUC
rnacentral:rRNA from 1 species